ACCUCUAAUAAGAAAUAUCAUCUACCUCAGAUAAGCAUAAUCAAGUUCAGUUGACAAGUCACAGUUUUGCAUGCCUUGGACAGGAAUCUUACCUCCAAUUGCCCAUAUCCCUGCCUAGUGCCUAGAAUAACCAUCAAUUAUCAAUAUUAAGAGUCUAUUUUUUGCUCUUCUUUUGAUUUAUAGAUAUUAUCUUCUCUUAACCAAAUGGUUCGUAUCCUGGCUUAAUACUUUAUUCCAAACUGAUUGAGAGUCUGAUCUGCAUCAUUCCCACAAGAGAAAACAAAUGACAAAAGCCUUAUGUUUUAUCAUAUAUCUGACAAUUCAAAUGUUUUCUGCACAACUUCCAUCAACUCAAGUCAGCUAAAGACAUCAACUCUAGUGAACCGUUUUAACUUCUUGGUGUUUGCCGAAGUUACGGAAUGGAUCAAUAAGUCGACGGUGAAGCACUGAAGCUCCUGCUGUCGUGAAAUUGAUAUUGAUCAUGGACUAGCUUAUGGCCUCAUGAAGAUAUAUCAGAAUUAUGCAGAUCUUGCCGAUGAAAUUUGCUUCAAUUCUGCUGAUCAGCUUUUAUAAUGUUAACCGAAUUAGAAACCACUGUUUUGAUGGGUUGAUGUCAUGCAUUGUACAUUGCAGUUUUUAUUUGACACCAGCCUUCUUCUUUGGCUGCUCUUGGAACAAUUGAUGUCUUCUAAGACCUGUAAUUUCUUUGUUCUUUUUCAUUGACAAUGGUGACUUCAUGAAUUGGUUAA